CCCAUUAAUCAGCAAAAACAGAAGCGGAGCUGUGGCCCGAGUGGUAGAGUGCCAGCCUUGAGCAAAUAAGCUAAGAGGCAAUCGCCUUUAGUCUGCUUUAUUUAGAGUCAAGGAGAAAUGGGCUGUACCUGGAGAUGUGGGAUCUAACAAGAAGUUUUGAUUUCUGCUAAGCUAAGAAGAGAUAAUGACCCAACUCCAACCUUCCUUUGAUGCAACUGGUCCAGAGUCGGUGUAACUAAUUGCUAGAGGUGUUGGAAAUCUCUGCCUGUGUGUGCAAUGUAAAAUUGUAUUUUCAGUGUAUUGCAGUGUUUGUAGUAUUCUCAUGAACAACCUCUGUCCCUUGUCAGCACCACAACUGUCCUCUAGCCACCAUUACCUAUACAACAAUAAGACCUGACAUUUAUUAAAUGUUGCUAGGCACCAUUAUCUCCAUCUUCACCUUGGCUCUCUAAGGUAGAUGGUGUGAUUAGCCCUUGUAAACUAAACAGUUGUAGAAAAUGAAACUUACAGAGUUGUACCCCAGUGUCACAGCUCAGAAAUAUUACAGAAUGAAAAGCCAAAGUCCAUGUGGCCUCAAGGUUCUUGUCCUUAACAAGAAUUCUUCUAUAUCACCUUACAAAUGAGAGGUUUUACUGGUAAAAAUAGGUGCAUAUUUCCUUCCUAUUCUGAUUCAUUGUAAAGACUGCAUUUUGUCAAUAAUAAAAUAACUCAGCAGAAUGAAAAGAAUUCACAGCUCCAACAUCCUGUUGCAGCAACUGUUUUUAUUUCUCUUCAUUUCCUUUCGCUCCUUAUCCAUAUGUUCAUAUUUUACAUAGUCAUAGUUGCAAUUUUAUGUUCUGCUUUUUAUGCUUAAAACCUUAAGCAUGUUCCUUGUUGCUCUUUAGUCUGUAAUGGAUGCAUACUACUGGAUUUUGUAAAUGUGCUGUGAUUUUAUUAGCUAGACAACCACAAUGGAAAAACUUUCUAGGUUGCUUUUUGUUGUUGUUGUUUAGUUUUAUAAACUAUGAUGCAGAAAACUAGUUUAUUUCCCCUUCUCUCUUCUUUUGUCAGUUUUUUUAAAAGAAUAAAUUCCCUGGAAGUGAGAAUGGCAAACAAGAACUUGGACAUAUUUUAGGAGACUCUGUAUCUUUGAUCAUAGAAAUAAAUUUCAUAACUGGCAAGAAUAGAUUAAAUGCAUGAAUUAUUGCUUAGGGA